rnacentral:lncRNA from 1 species
CUCUAGGAAUUUUGGGGAAAAGAAGAAUCCCAAACUGUAAAAACGACAGCAUCUAAACAUUCUUGAUAAUGUGCUUGGUUGAUUUGCUUCUCUGUCUACACAGCACCGCAUAAGCACAUCUUCUGAAAGACCGAAAGGGAACAGAACCAGCAAACAACCAUUCUCGCCCAGCCCAGCCAGAGAGGAGUGUGUGACUGCACUUUUCUGCCUUUUCUUUCUUGCCUUCCUGCGGAUUUCCUAGAUAAAAUUCCCUCUUCAAUUCUACAUCGCUCUUAUGGGACGGGAUCAAGCUGACCUCAGGGAACGUGAACAUGAACCUCUCUCGGGCCACAGUCUGCGCGAUGACAUGCAGCGUUCCUGGUAUUUAAUUGCCGGCAAAUAAUAAUUUCUUUGAAAGAGAUUACGUCUCUUUUAUAAUUUUUCCUUAUUAUACAAGUUACUUCCAAAAUUGUACACUAUACCAAAGUGUAGUAAGAAGAUGUUAGUGCAGUCUCUAUACCUGAUGUAAACUUCUAUUGAAAGUCCCCCCACCCCACAACAGGCCCCGGUGUGUGAUGUGAGAUUAUUUCUAAGACUUAUUAAUCCUUUGUGUCUCCUCUUUUGAGAAUUUUCUGUCCAGAAUCGUUGCCCUUUUAUCUUCCUAGUGUUUUUCUUGAUUGCCUUCUAUGCUGAGAAUUGGCUGGAAAAU